AUUCCGUUGGGAUCGACAGCGAGGCUUGUGACAGCAUCCAAAUGAGCCACCAUAGAAUGGAUCGUUUUACCUACGGAACACACACAGAACAGGGGAAUUAAGGGUCUCCAAGGAUAAAAUGCAGCCAGAGGAAGAGCUGAAGUCACAAAGGUAACAGCCCCAGAGAGAGAACACAAAGGUUCAGAUUCUUGCACCUAUAUACACCAGGUCUUAUUACCAGUCUGAAAGCAGUCUUCAGCAAUAUGCAGAAAAGAAGCUCUGAGCUGAAGCCAGGCCUCUCUUCAAAAGAGCAGAAAAAUCACCUUUGAGAAACGCAGCCUGGCCACCAGCUGGGUUUCCAUGGGUCAACGGCAGCAACUUGGCUUGCGGAACUGCCGACCUGGUAGCUGAAUAAACGUGAUAGGGUCUGCCUCCUAACCCCUGUCGGCCAAUCGUUUACUGCAGGAGCCACUGAGAUGCACCAUUAUGGAUACGAGACAGCCUGGAUGAUCCUGCACCAUCACAUGUUAAAGAAGUCCAGGGGAAGCUUUUACGCACACUAGACCGAAAACAUCUUUUCAAUCACAGGUAGGGAGGCUCUCUUGGUAGGGAAAUAGGGAUGGUGGGAUUCCAAAGUACAGGAAACUACACCAAGUUCACCACAGUCCUGAUUCCACUAUCACCAGUGUCUAGAGACAGCAGCUUGAAACUGUCCAGGUACAGCACCCAAGAGGGGUAUACACUUUGCUCUCUCUUCAGAAAGAAGGAAUGAUGAAAACUCUAUGUUCCCAUUUCUUAUUUCUGCCACCCCUCCAAAAAAGUCUUUAAGAUAUUUGAAAGAGCUGGAAAUAUUUACCAGGUCAUGACAUGCUUAUGAAUGCCACAACAAUACCAGUAUUGGUUGUGGACUUUGGGAAAAUCCUUCUGCAAACACCAACUCAGACAUCCCAGAAAAUUACUCUGACCCCCAAACUUGCAAUUCCCAUCACCAUCAGGUCUCACUGACCUUGCUGGAUCUCAGGUGCUCAUAAAAACAAUAGACUGAUUGAAUACUUUUCAGAUUACAUAAAAAGCUAUAGUAACUCAUUUUC